rnacentral:piRNA from 1 species
UGACAAUGUUAUGGAUGUGGCAGUAUUUG